rnacentral:rRNA from 1 species
CUACGGAGGAUGCAAGCGUUAUCCGGAUUUAUUGGGUUUAAAGGGUGCGCAGGCGGAAAAAUAAGUCAGUGGUGAAAUCCUGCAGCUUAACUGUAGAAUUGCCGUUGAUACUGUUAUUCUUGAGUGUGGUCAAGGUAGGCGGAAUGUGUAAUGUAGCGGUGAAAUGCUUAGAUAUUACACAGAACACCGAUUGCGAAGGCAGCUUACUGGGUCAUUACUGACGCUCAUGCACGAAAGCGUGGGGAUCGAACAGGAUUAGAUACCCUGGUAGUCCACGCCGUAAACGAUGAUCACUCGCUGUUGGCGAUACACAGUCAGCGGCUAAGCAAAAGCAUUAAGUGAUCCACCUGGGGAGUACGACCGCAAGGUUGAA